CAAUAGCGUAUAUUAAAGCUGUUGCGGUUAAAAAGCUCGUAGUUGGAUUUCUGUCAAGGACAACUGGUCCGCCCUCCGGGUGAGCACAUAGUUUGGUCUUGGCAUCUUGCUGGAAACUGUUGCUGCGCUUGGUUGUGUGGUGCAGCUUUCAGCACUUUCACUUUGAGGAAAUUGGAGUGUUUCAAGCAGGCACAUGCCUUUGGACACAGUAGCAUGGAAUAAUUAGAUUGGGCUUUUGCUCCAACUUGUUGGUUCCUGGAGCUGAGGUGAGAGUCAAUGGGGAUUGUUGGGGGCAUCCGAAUUUAGCCGUCAGAGGUGAAAUUCUUGGAUCUGCUAAAGACGGACAACUGCGAAAGCGUUUGCCCAGGAUGUUUUCAUUGA
rnacentral:rRNA from 1 species